rnacentral:rRNA from 1 species
GUGAUGGCCUACCAAGGCGACGACGGGUAGCCGGCCUGAGAGGGUGAUCGGCCACAUUGGGACUGAGAUACGGCCCAGACUCCUACGGGAGGCAGCAGUGGGGAAUAUUGCACAAUGGGCGGAAGCCUGAUGCAGCGACGCCGCGUGAGGGAUGACGGCCUUCGGGUUGUAAACCUCUUUCAGCAGGGACGAAGCGUAAGUGACGGUACCUGCAGAAGAAGCGCCGGCUAACUACGUGCCAGCAGCCGCGGUAAUACGUAGGGCGCGAGCGUUGUCCGGAAUUAUUGGGCGUAAAGAGCUCGUAGGCGGCUUGUCGCGUCGGUUGUGAAAGCCCGGGGCUUAACCCCGGGUCUGCAGUCGAUACGGGCAGGCUAGAGUUCGGUAGGGGAGAUCGGAAUUCCUGGUGUAGCGGUGAAAUGCGCAGAUAUCAGGAGGAACACCGGUGGCGAAGGCGGAUCUCUGGGCCGAUACUGACGCUGAGGAGCGAAAGCAUGGGUAGCGAACAGGAUUAGAUACCCUGGUAGUCCAUGCCGUAAACGGUGGGCGCUAGG